UUAGGAAUUUUGAGCGAGGGGAGAAAGCCUGAUCCAGCAGAUGCGAGCGAGUGGGAAGGAGUCCUUGAGGUUGGAAGAGACUGUUGUCCGGAAAGGAAUCCUGGGCUCUAAUGCAGCCGGGGGAAGACGGUACCGGAAGAAUCAGCACCGGCUAACUGCGUGCCAGCAGCCGCGGUAAUACGUAGGGUGCAAGCGUUAAUCGGAAUUACUGGGCGUAAAGCGUGCGCAGGCGGUUUGCUAAGACCGAUGUGAAAUCCCCGGGCUCAACCUGGGAACUGCAUUGGUGACUGGCAGGCUAGAGUAUGGCAGAGGGGGGUAGAAUUCCACGUGUAGCAGUGAAAUGCGUAGAGAUGUGGAGGAAUACCGAUGGCUGAAGGCAGCCCCCUGGGCCAAUACUGACGCUCAUGCACGAAAGCGUGGGGAGCAAACAGGAUUAGAUACCCUGGUAGUCCACGCCCUAAACGAUGUCAACUAGUUGUUGGGGAUUCAUUUCCUUAGUAACGUAGCUAACGCGUGAAGUUGACCGC
rnacentral:rRNA from 1 species